ACUACAAGAAAACACACCGAAUUCCGACGGAUCUUCCGACGGACACCAAGGUCGUCGGAAAUUUGCGACGGAAUACUGACAAAUUUCCGACCAAAUCCAAAAAAAUUAAGUCGUCGGAAUUCCGUCGGCCAUUUCCGACGGAAUUCCGACGACAUACGGUUCGUCGGAAUUUUCCGACGACUUUUCGACGACAUUCCGAUAAAAAAUGUAACCGUUGUAGUCGUCGGAAGUUCGUCGGUAUAUUCCGACGAAAUUCCGACGACAUUCCGAUUAANNNN
rnacentral:lncRNA from 1 species